rnacentral:rRNA from 1 species
AGUGAACGCUGGCGGUAGGCCUAACACAUGCAAGUCGAACGGCAGCACAGUAAGAGCUUGCUCUUACGGGUGGCGAGUGGCGGACGGGUGAGGAAUACAUCGGAAUCUACUUUUUCGUGGGGGAUAACGUAGGGAAACUUACGCUAAUACCGCAUACGACCUACGGGUGAAAGCAGGGGAUCUUCGGACCUUGCGCGAUUGAAUGAGCCGAUGUCGGAUUAGCUAGUUGGCGGGGUAAAGGCCCACCAAGGCGACGAUCCGUAGCUGGUCUGAGAGGAUGAUCAGCCACACUGGAACUGAGACACGGUCCAGACUCCUACGGGAGGCAGCAGUGGGGAAUAUUGGACAAUGGGCGCAAGCCUGACCCAGCCAUACCGCGUGGGUGAAGAAGGCCUUCGGGUUGUAAAGCCCUUUUGUUGGGAAAGAAAAGCAGCAGGUUAAUACCCCGCUGUUCUGACGGUACCCAAAUAAUAAGCACCGGCUAACUUCGUG